rnacentral:rRNA from 1 species
AAAAGUAAUUCAAAGGGGUUAUUAAGGAUAGCACAAGCAAAUUUAUAAAAAAGGAGGUGUCAACCAAAUGCUUUCAUAAUAUUAAAUUAUUUAUCGUGAAAGCGAUCCUAAGGGAAACCUUUUAAUUAAUACUUCCUGAAGUAAAACAUUUUAGUAAGGAAAGGAAAGGAAAUCAACCGAGACUCCGAAAGUAAUGGUGAGUGAAAUCGGAUUAGCCUAAGAUUAUCUUUUAUAAAUUGAAUAAAUUAACUCUUUUUUAUAAUAUUCUUAAUUAAAUUUAUACCAAUAAACUUAAAUAAGUAAUAUGAAAUCAAGAACUUAAUUUACAAAUAAUUUUAUUUCAAAUAAAAAAAAUUUGUUCAAAGAAGGUUAAAAACAAUAAGUCCUGUAGAUUUAUAAAAAAAUAAUAUAAUAAGUACGAUGAGAGUUAACUUGUCGGAAUAUAGGGGAACCAUCCUCUAAGGCUAAGUAUUAUAAAUUUAGCGAUAGUGAAAAAGUACUGUAAAGGAAAAGUUUGAAAAGCAAUGGUUUAAAGAAACAUAAGAGUAAUUAUUAAAAUUUAAAUAAUAUCUAAAAAAUAUUAUACUUUAAUAAAUGCCGGUGAAAUAGAUCUUGAAUUAGUAACUCUAUAAGCAGUCGAAAUUUAAAACAAAAAAUGACGGCGUACCUUUUGCAUAAUGGGUCAGCAAGUUAAUAGGAGUAGCAAGGUUAAAAGCCCUAGCGAAAGCGACUGGACUAUAAUUAUAAAAAGUGUCAAGUUUUUCAUAAGAAAAUAUAGUGAUGGAUAAGUUACUUCUAUUAGACCCGAAGCCAGGUGAUCUUACUAAGACCAGAUUAUAAUGGAUCGAACGGGUGAAUGUUGCAUAAUUCUCCGAUGAGUUUUAGUAAGCGGUGAAAUGCCAAUCUGACCUGGUGCUAUCUGGUUUUCUACCGAAACAUAUUUAAGUAUGACAUCUACACAAAAUUUAUGGAGGUACAGCAAGGCAAUUCCCAACAAGUAUAAGAGUCAUUAUUUACAAAUAAUUUCGUCUUAUAGGCGUUUAGGUUGUGGGGACCUCGAAAAUCUUACCUAUGGAAGCGAAUCUCGGAAGUACAUAAAUUGAUGGUAGAUAUUCAGACUAUCCAUGCUAAGUUGGAUAGUCAAGACGGAAACAGCCGAGAACAUUGAUCAAGGUCCCAAAUGAUUAUUAAGUGAAAUUAAGGAUGUUUAAAAUCGGAUACAGCUGUGAAGUGAGCUUGGAAGUAGCUUCUUAUAAUGAUCGUAUGUAACAACGCAUCAGCAGUCUAGAUUGUAGCGCCGAAAAUUUAACGGGUCUAAAAUAAUCAACCGAUAUCGUGUUGGUUUUAAAUAAUAAUAAAAAUAAAAAAUAAAAAUAAAUAAAUAAAUAAAUAAAAUAAAAAGUUUUUCUUUUUUAAAAUUCUUAUUUUAAACCUAGGUAGUAGAACAUUCAGUCAAACUAUUUAUAAAACAGUGUUUCAUUGUUUUUAGGUAACUGAAGAGAGAAUGCUGACAUGAGUAACGUAAAAAGAAGUUAUAAUACUUCUCGCCGAAUACGAAAGGGUUGUAAGUGAAAGGUUAAUCCGCCUUACGUGAAUGCGGCCUCUAAGGACUAGAACGAAAGUUUUGGCUGAUGAGUAUAUAAUAGAAAAUCCAUUUUUUGGAUCAGGAAAUUAAUAUGAGAUAAAAUUUUAUUUUUAUCUGUAAGAACUUAAUUUUAUUUUUAAUAGGUGUAAAUUUUACAAAUUUUAUAGUAACCUUUAUUCUUUUUAUUUUUUAAAUAAGAAAAUAGAAAAAUCAAAUUAAGACUACCGUACCCUAAACCGACACAGGUUCGUAGGUAGAGAAUACUAAGGCGUAGAGCUAAAAGUUGUUAAGGAACUCGGCAAAUUAACCUGCAUUGUGUUCUUGGAAAACACAUAAGUGGGUCAAACCAUCAAACUCCGGGGACACCCUAAAGGUCCUGAUACCAAGCUAUAGUCGAAAGGU